CCUACGGGUGGCAGCAGUGGGGAAUAUUGGACAAUGGGCGAAAGCCUGAUCCAGCCAUGCCGCGUGUGUGAAGAAGGCCUUCGGGUGGUAAAGCACUUUCAGUGGGGAAGAAAGCCUUGGGGCUAAUACCCUCGAGGAAGGACAUCACCCACAGAAGAAGCACCGGCUAACUCCGUGCCAGCAGCCGCGGUAAUACGGAGGGUGCGAGCGUUAAUCGGAAUUACUGGGCGUAAAGCGCGCGUAGGCGGUCUGAUAAGCCGGUUGUGAAAGCCCCGGGCUCAACCUGGGAACGGCAUCCGGAACUGUCAGGCUAGAGUGCAGGAGAGGAAGGUAGAAUUCCCGGUGUAGCGGUGAAAUGCGUAGAGAUCGGGAGGAAUACCAGUGGCGAAGGCGGCCUUCUGGACUGACACUGACGCUGAGGUGCGAAAGCGUGGGUAGCAAACAGGAUUAGAUACCCGUGUAGUC
rnacentral:rRNA from 1 species